rnacentral:rRNA from 1 species
GACGAACGCUGGCGGCGUGCUUAACACAUGCAAGUCGAACGGAAAGGCCCUGCUUUUGUGGGGUGCUCGAGUGGCGAACGGGUGAGUAACACGUGAGUAACCUGCCCUUGACUUUGGGAUAACUUCAGGAAACUGGGGCUAAUACCGGAUAGGAGCUCCUGCUGCAUGGUGGGGGUUGGAAAGUUUCGGCGGUUGGGGAUGGACUCGCGGCUUAUCAGCUUGUUGGUGGGGUAGUGGCUUACCAAGGCUUUGACGGGUAGCCGGCCUGAGAGGGUGACCGGCCACAUUGGGACUGAGAUACGGCCCAGACUCCUACGGGAGGCAGAAGUGGGGAAUAUUGCACAAUGGGCGGAAGCCUGAUGCAGCAACGCCGCGUGCGGGAUGACGGCCUUCGGGUUGUAAACCGCUUUCGCCUGUGACGAAGCGUGAGUGACGGUAAUGGGUAAAGAAGCACCGGCUAACUACAUG